rnacentral:rRNA from 1 species
UUGGCUCAGAACGAACGCUGGCGGCGUGCUUAACACAUGCAAGUCGAACGAUGAUGCCCAGCUUGCUGGGUGGAUUAGUGGCGAACGGGUGAGUAACACGUGAGUAACCUGCCCCUGACUCUGGGAUAAGCGUUGGAAACGACGUCUAAUACUGGAUACGACUGCCGGCCGCAUGGUCUGGUGGUGGAAAGAUUUUUUGGUUGGGGAUGGACUCGCGGCCUAUCAGCUUGUUGGUGAGGUAAUGGCUCACCAAGGCGACGACGGGUAGCCGGCCUGAGAGGGUGACCGGCCACACUGGGACUGAGACACGGCCCCACG